rnacentral:lncRNA from 1 species
GUUAAAAGAUAGAACAGUCUAGCCAAGUGCCAUGUCUCUUAUUCUUGAUCAGCAAUAGCUCUGGAGUUUUUGCAGAUUUUCAAAUAAAAUCUCAGAUAUUCCUUGUAUGAUUCUCAAAUCUCUCUUUUGUGGUAUUUUUGGAUCCUUACCAAGGCAGUGAUGGUAUAUGCCUUCUCUCAAAAAUAUGUAGUAAUUGUGGUAUAAAGCAUAGUGACAUUGUCUUCUCUCUCACCAUACUCUAAUAAGGCUUUUAAUAUCUGGAGCUCAUAGGUGGGAGAUAAAAUAUACAUACUUACAAGACAUGUAUUGCAUAGUCAAACCAUGGAUCCAAAGAAACAAAUCAAUAAGUCAAAUCAAGAUGUGCAUGUGUGGAGAAUGAAUGGUGUAUGGUGAUGAUGGUGACAACAAUGGUGAAAGUCUAAUUCUACUUUUGCUCUUUUGAGGGGAUAUAUACCUUUCUUGCUUUUUGAAACUUUAUGAGGAGAAUGAGAUGCUCUUCUUUUCUUUUCUCUCAAGUGAGUAUCUUGUACCCCUAAUUCUACUGUCGGACACUUAUCCAUUUUUACCUCUCGUCUCACUUUUUCUUUUCUUUCGAGGUUCCGAGCACUUGCUCCUUUUUAUUUCCUCGUAUCUCUUUUUUUUCUCUCUUUUUUUAGAGCACUCACACUACUAGGUAUGUGCUCAUUAAUGACACUACUCUUUCGUCACUGAAGAUAUCAAAAUCGUCAUGGAGUUUCUUUUGUGACGAAUUAGUGACAAAAUAGUGUUCGUCAUGGAAUGAGCGUCAUUGAUUGACAACGGUGACGAAAUGGCAAUUUUCGUCAUAGAUGAGGUCCUAUUCUAUGACGAAAAUACCAUCGUCACAGAAGAGAUUUCAUUCCAUGACAAAACGUUUUCGUCAUUGUUGUGCCCAACUUUUCGUCAUAGCAUGGCAAUCUGUUAGGCUACCAAACAGCGUUUGCCAUGCUGGCAGCUGACAUGGCCGCCACGUGGCGUGCUGACGUGGCCACCAUGUUGCAUGCUGACUGACUGCCACGUGUCGUGUUGCCAUGGCUUCCAAGUGGCAUGCUGACGUGGCAUCCUCCACGUGUCC